rnacentral:rRNA from 1 species
UACAGAGGUGGCAAGCGUUGUUCGGAAUUACUGGGCGUAAAGGGCGCGUAGGCGGUCUUGCAAGUCCCGUGUGAAAUCCCUCGGCUCAACUGAGGAACUGCACGGGAAACUGCCUGGCUUGAGUUCGGGAGAGGGAAGCGGAAUUCUGGGUGUAGCGGUGAAAUGCGUAGAUAUCCGGAGGAACACCGGUGGCGAAGGCGGCUUCCUGGACCGACACUGACGCUGAGGCGCGAAAGCUAGGGGAGCAAACAGG